UUGAAAUCUGGCUUCGGCUCUGUAAAAGCGUUCUAUCUGCUGACGCAGAAAAUAUGAAUAUUUUCUUGCUUUCAGUCCUUUUAACCAGGUUACCAAAUGUAUUAACUUCAAGGAUUGAUCAAAAACCGAGAUCAGCAACAAAAACUUCGGGCGAAUCUUUAACCAUCAACUGCGUCCUAAGAGAUGUUAACUACGGAUUGUACAGCACAGGCUGGUAUUGGACAAAAUUGGGCUCAACAAACGAGGAGAGCAUAUCAACUGGUGAACGAUAUGUUGAAUCAGUAAACGAGGGAUUAUCGUCCUUUUCUCUGAAAAUUAGUGAUCUGAGAGUUGAGGACAGUGGCACGUAUAGAUGUGGAGCAUGUGACGAUCUAACUGGACAUAGCUGUCUGUUCUACUACCAAAAAGGGAGUGGCACCGUUCUGACUGUGAACCCUGGACUACAGCCUACUGCACCAGUCAUCAGUCUAUUUUAUUCUGCAACUGAAGAAAAGAGAGCAAACGGAUUUGUACAUUUGAUUUGUAUAAUCAGCAGAUACUAUCCUAAAAACAUUGUGGUCAGUUGGCAGAAGAACAAAAAUGUCAUCAGUUCUGGUUUUACAACUACAUCCCCAAUGAAAACAUCGACCGAUGACUUCAGCUCUACAAGUUUACUUAAAGUAUCCCAGCAGGAAUGGAACAGCGGCUCUAUGUACAGCUGUCAUGUUUUUCAUUCUGCAACUAACAGUAAUCAGAGAAAAGAAGUUAGAUCAACAUCCGAGAUUGCUGUGCUGCUAAGGAAUCCAUUGGUUGAAGAAAUCUGGAUCAAUAAAACUGCCACUCUGGUUUGUGAAGUGCUCUCUACACUUUCUGCUGGGGUAGUCAUCUCUUGGAUGGUGGAUGGGAAGGUAAGGAAUUAUGGUGUUAAAAUCGAAGCAGCUAAAAUGGAAGGAAACCAAUAUCUGACCAUCAGCCGCUUGACCAGCAGCAUGGAAGAGUGGCAGAGUGGGACGGAAUACAUAUGCUCCGCAAAACAGAAUCAGUCAUCGACCCCAGUAUCAAAACGAACAGGAAAACAAAGAGUUGUACCAAUUAAGCCAAAUCUCCACGUAUUUCCCCCGUCACCAGAAGAGAUUCAAAACACCAGCUCUGCCACUCUAACAUGUUUGAUAAGAGGAUUCUAUCCUGAUAGUAUAAGUAUUUCUUGGGAGAAAGACGGGGCUUCUGUGAGCGCAAACAUCACCAAUUUUCCCACUGCUCUGGAACAGGAUCUGACUUUCAGUGCAAGGAGCCUCCUCAUUUUAUCUGCAGUAGAAUGGAACAGUGGAGCAAAAUACACCUGCACUGUCUCGCAUCCACCUUCCCAAUCCAUUGUGAAAAGGGUUAUCAGAAACCAUAAUGAUGAAUGCAGAUUUCCAGACAUUUCUGUCAAUCUACUGAAGCCUUCAUUUGAAGAGAUUUGGAAAGAAAUGACAGCGACCAUUGCAUGCAAAAUAGUUUAUAGUGACUUAGAAAAUAUCAACGUUUUCUGGCAAGUGAACGGGACUGAGAGAGUGGAAGGGGUCGAGACGCAGAAUCCCGAGCGGAUUGGAAGUAAAUCCACCAUUGUGAGCAUACUUAAAAUAAUGGCAUCAGAGUGGGACAGUGGUGCCGAAUAUGUUUGCUUGGUAGAAGACAGUGAAUUACCAACACCAGUGAAAGCCACUAUCAAGAAGACAAUUGUCAGUGAAUUCCAUCCUCCUAAGGUUUAUCUCCUGCAUCCGUCGAUGGAGGAGAUUGAUACUGAGAAUUCGGCUACUCUGGUGUGUUUAGCCACCGGCUUUUACCCAGAUGAGAUUUACAUUGGUUGGAUGGCUAAUGACACCCUUCUGGAUUCCAGCUACCGGACCCAAUCAGAAAGCGAGAAGAGGAAUGGUUCCAGUUUCAUCACCAGCGGAUUGAGACUCACAGCAGCGGAAUGGAACAGUGACACCACUUACUCCUGCUUAGUGGGCCACCCAUCCCUCAGCCGGGAUUUAAUCAGAAGUACAAAUAAAUCUCACGGUAAACCGACAUUUGUUAAUGUUUCAGUCAUACUAAGUGACACUAUUAAAUCCUGCAUUUAGACUGCCGUGGUAUACUAUUUGCUUUCCAUAAACAGCUAAAUGUCAUGAUGUCAAUAACUGUUGAAGGAACCAAUCCAAUGCAUUUUCAAUUCACUGUAUGGUGCAGUCACAUUCUUGAUACUAAAAACUUUUGGACAUAAGAGAUUAGUCAUUAUUUCAAAUUUUAUCUGUCAAUUAAGGAUAAUUGUGUUUAGAAUCUGAAAUGCAAGGACAACUUUGUCUUGUCAGUGUAAUUGUUCUGAAGAUUGCUUGAAGCAUUUCACAUCGUUAUUAGAAGGAAUAGAAAUUAUGCUUGCGUCUGUAUGUGGCUCUGAUAAUUACAAUAAACGCAGAAUGAAAAC